UAUCCAUGGUGAGGGCACUGCAUAGUAUAACUUCUAAACGUCUCCCAUGCCUCACAAAAGAACUCAUGGUUAUUCUGUGUGAAGCUUGAUAUCUCAUUCCUCAGUCU
rfam:Eutrema salsugineum unplaced genomic scaffold scaffold_12, whole genome shotgun sequence.